UUUUAACUGCCUAGCAGGACAAGAGGCCAUAUGCAGUUUUCCCCUUGACUGAUCUUUGCUUCUUGUGGCUUAUUCCACAAACAAGAGGCAGAAUGGCAUAUACAGAACCCUGCAAAGGCCCAGCCUCAUCACAAGAGAGGAACAGACCAUAGAGGGGUGGGGCAGAAAGAGGAAUGAUUUUUUUUUAACUGCGCCUUUUAAACUGCGAAGCAGCUAAGCUCCAUAUAUACAGAAGAGCCCCAUGGAAGUCUGGGUGUAUAUAGGGGUAUGUUUUCCAGCAGGACAUGGGCUAUGUGCCAUCAUCAUCUGCGAUAGAAAAUAGACCAAGGGCGAAUAGAUGGCCUUG
rnacentral:lncRNA from 1 species